CCUACGGGUGGCACCAGUGGGGAAUAUUGCACAAUGGGCGCAAGCCUGAUGCAGCCAUGCCGCGUGUAUGAAGAAGGCCUUAGGGUUGUAAAGUACUUUCAGUUGGGAGGAAGGCGUUGAUGCUAAUAUCAUCAACGAUUGACGUUACCAACAGAAGAAGCACCGGCUAACUCCGUGCCAGCAGCCGCGGUAAUACGGAGGGUGCAAGCGUUAAUCGGAAUUACUGGGCGUAAAGCGCACGCAGGCGGUUGAUUAAGUUAGAUGUGAAAUCCCCGGGCUUAACCUGGGAAUGGCAUCUAAGACUGGUCAGCUAGAGUCUUGUAGAGGGGGGGUAGAAUUCCAUGUGUAGCGGUGAAAUGCGUAGAGAUGUGGAGGAAUACCGGUGGCGAAGGCGGCCCCCUGGAGAAAGACUGACGCUCAGGUGCGAAAGCGUGGGGAGCAAACAGGAUUAGAUACCCCCGUAGUC
rnacentral:rRNA from 1 species